UACAGAGGGGGCAAGCGUUGUUCGGAAUUACUGGGCGUAAAGGGCGCGUAGGCGGCCUGCUAAGUCGAACGUGAAAUCCCCGGGCUCAACCCGGGAACUGCGUCCGAUACUGGUUGGCUUGAAUCCGGGAGAGGGAUGCGGAAUUCCAGGUGUAGCGGUGAAAUGCGUAGAUAUCUGGAGGAACACCGAUGGCGAAGGCGGCACGCUGGACCGGUAUUGACGCUGAGGCGCGAAAGCGAGGGGAGCAAACGGG
rnacentral:rRNA from 1 species